GAUGUUGUAGUCCAGUGGUAUAGCACUUGCCUAGCAUGCAUGAGGCCUGGGUUUGAUUCCCAGCACCUUAG
rfam:Heterocephalus glaber contig174422, whole genome shotgun sequence.